rnacentral:rRNA from 1 species
AUUGAACGCUGGCGGCAGGCUUAACACAUGCAAGUCGAGCGGAGCGAGGGUGCUUGCACCUUAGCUUAGCGGCGGACGGGUGAGUAAUGCUUAGGAAUCUGCCUAUUAGUGGGGGACAACAUUCCGAAAGGAAUGCUAAUACCGCAUACGCCCUACGGGGGAAAGCAGGGGAUCUUCGGACCUUGCGCUAAUAGAUGAGCCUACAUCGGAUUAGCUAGUUGGUGGGGUAAAGGCCUACCAAGGCGACGAUCUGUAGCGGGUCUGAGAGGAUGAUCCGCCACACUGGGACUGAGACACGGACCAGACUCCUACGGGAGGCAGCAGUGGGGAAUAGUGGACAAUGGGCGGAAGCCUGAUCCAGCCAUGCCGCGUGUGUGAAGAAGGCCUUUUGGUUGUAAAGCACUUUAAGCGAGGAGGAGGCUACUUAGAUUAAUACUCUGGGAUAGUGGACGUUACUCGCAGAAUAAGCACCGGCUAACUCUGUGCCAGCCGCCGCCGUAA